GACGAACGCUGGCGGCGCGCCUAACACAUGCAAGUCGAGCGAAGCGGCGAACGGGUGAGUAACGCGUGAGGAACCUGCCUCUCACAACGGGAUAGCCUCGGGAAACCGGGAUUAAUACCGUAUGGUGAGAGAUGGCCUCGCGUCUGAUUAGUUAGGUGGUGGGGUAACGGCCUACCACGACGACGAUCAGUAACCGGCAUGAGAGGGUGAACGGUGACAUUUGAACGAAGAAACAGUCCAAAAUACUACGGGAGGCAGCAGUGGGGGAUCUUGCACAACGGCGGGAACCAUGAUGCAGCGACGCCGGGUGAGCGAUGAAGGUGUUCGAAUCGUAAAGCUCUGUCCUAUGGGAAGCGGUACCAUAGGAGGAAGCCCCGGCUAACUACGUGCCAGCAGCCGCGGUAAUAC
rnacentral:rRNA from 1 species